AAGGGCUUUGCGCCGGGUCUCGAGCUCCUUUCACUGCGGUCCGUCAUGAGAGGACGAGAGGAUGUGAUGGGGAGCAGUGGCUCUACACUUCCUGCUGCUGCGAUGGUGCACGUGGUGUCGCAGACGACGCUUCGGUCCAACUCGGUUUUCCUCUUGACCUGACUUUGUGCACCAAGGCAGCAGUAAACGGUUUCUGCUGCCACAAAUGAUCAUGAUCCAAGGUUUCAACUUCAGUAAUGAAGGU